rnacentral:rRNA from 1 species
UACGUAGGGGGCGAGCGUUGUCCGGAUUUAUUGGGCGUAAAGAGCGUGUAGGCGGUUCGGUAAGUCUGUCGUGAAAUCCUGAGGCUCAACCUCGGACGUGCGAUGGAUACUGCCGGGCUAGAGGAUGGUAGAGGCGAGUGGAAUUCCCGGUGUAGCGGUGAAAUGCGCAGAUAUCGGGAGGAACACCAGUGGCGAAGGCGGCUCACUGGCCCGAUACUGACGCUGAGGCACGAAAGCGUGGGGAGCAAACAGG